GGACAGCCAGUGCUACACAGAGAAACCCUGUCUCAAAAAAAAAAAAAAAAAAAAAAAAAAAAAAAAAAAAAAAAAAAACACCCCCCCCCACCCAAAUUCUAAUAACCCAUACAAAAUAAUAGAUUUUCUUUAUUCCCAAGUCUUUCCGAGGUUCUAUGGGCUGAUGACUCUCGAGUUGCACAGUGAUUCACCACUGCGCUGUUGUAUCAAAAGUGCAUUUACUGCACCUAACCUACAGACACUAGAGUAACACAAACAGGCAUGUCCAACCCUUUGACACCGACAUCUACAAAGUUCACAUUCAGGAGCUGGGCAAGUUAAAAACCAAACAAAAACCCUCCGUGUUGAAUUUUACAGUUUUGUUUUUGUCCAAAUUCAUAGCUGUUCUGAAGCCACAUACUGGACUCAGCCACGAGAGUAUCAGUUUUGUUUGCUACCGUAACUGCACGGUUAACAACGGGAAGCCGAGGCUUGCUGCUGCCCAGUGUCCUAAGAGAACGUUCUACUGGGUAUCACUGAUUCAGGAAAAGUGCUAGGGACCGAAUCACAGGUUUCAUGCAAGCCAGAAAAAUGACCUACCACCGAGGCACACCUGUGGCUAACUUGAAGGUCCUAGUCAUCAUGGUCGUCUUUGAAACAGGGUCUCUCUAUUAUGUAUCUCUGGCUGUCCUGGAACUCGCUCUGUAGACCAUGCUGACCUCCAAUUCAGAGAUCCACAUGCCUCUGCUCCCAAGUGCUGGGAUUAAAGGUGUGUAGGUGUGUACCCCUAUACCCAGCUCAUCUUCCUAAGUGAGUGAGUGAAUGAGUGUGAGAGAGAGUGUGUGUGUGUGUGUGUGUGUAUGUAAGGUGAAGGGCAAGAUUUGCCAUGUAUACCAGCUGACCUCAAACUCUUAUAGUCAUUCUUCUGAGUGUGCCUCUACCUCUCCAGUGCUGAGAUAGUAGGCAGGAGCCACCAUACAUGGGUUUCCUUUCCCCUUUUCUUUUCUUUUCUUUUUAAAUAGUUUCACUGUGCUCCCCAUGCUGGAAUUAAACCUAAAAUCUUCCCCCUCAGCUUCCAGUGCUACAACUAUAGGCAUGAACGGCAUGCCUGACUUAACACAUCCUUAAGAAGGGGAACACAAUUUAUAACUUGUGCUUUGGCACACUUGAAAUUAUUUUUCCUUAGACAAAAAUCAUGAUCAAUCUCUGCUUUAUGGAAAUAUAGAAUUAUCUUUUCCCUAAAAAAUUUUCUUUUUUGCACUUACCAUGCACCAGAUCACACUUUAGGUGAUGACAAUAAAAAAAAAUAAAGACAUAAAUGUGCAGAUCCAUAGUCUCAUUACUUAGGAGAGGCUGAGGCACAAGAUUCUGAAUUUGAGACAAAUUUAGGCAAAUUUGGGCAACAGGCACUGAAGCAUGUUGGUGACUGCCUUUAAUCCUGGCACCAGGAGGCUGAGAUGCUAAGUUCUGGGCCAAUAAGGGCUAUAUAGUGAGAAUCUGUCUCUAACCAAACUAAAAACAAACAAAAUAAGCGGCUGUUUUGAGCUUUUUCAUGAGAAUAAAUUCAAAGCACUACAGACUUACUAAAAAAGGGUGCUGAGGGACAAUGCUGCAGCAGGGUAAAGCGGGGCAAUGCUGCAGCAGGGUAAAGCGGGGCAAUGCUGCCUGGAGCGGAAGGGGCCGAGGAAGUCUACUUUCAGAGCACCCAGCACAGCACCGCAGAGCAGAGUAACUAACUACGACUCCCGAGUCUCAGGCUCAGCACGCCACCUGGAAUGAAGAACCAAGGGUGCAGGAGUGCACAUGAAGUCUGCAGUGGGGCUGCAGGAAAGGACCAUGAAUUUAGUUUGUUUGCAGAGUAGCACAAAGCCCUGAGUUUAAUCCUCAGCACCAUAAACUGGGUGUGGUGAAGCACACCUGUAAUCUCAGUACUUGGGAGGUGGGGGGCAGUUUUAUAUCUGAAGUACGAGGUCAUCCUGGACAAUAUAUUUAUUGAAUUCAAGGCCACAUGAAACCAAGAGAGGCUAGAAAUGGCUCAGCAGCUGCUCUUCCAGAGGAUCCAAACUUGGUUCCCAGCACACACAUAGCAGCUCACAAACAUUUACUGACUCCAGUUCCAGAUCUGAUGCCUUCUAGUCUGUGUGCACAGACUUAUAUGCAGGCAAAACUUCCAUACAUAUUUAAAAGAGGGAGGUUAAGAAAUCGAAUUUUAAGCCGGGCCUUUAAUCCCAGCACUUGGGAGGCAGAGGCAGGCCUCUGUGAGUUCGAGGCCAGCCCGGUCUACAGAGCUAGUCCAGGACAGGCUCCAAAGCUACACAGAGAAACCCUGUCUUGAAAAACAGAAAAAAAAAAAAAAAGAAAUGAAAUUUAAAAAGGCACUCAAAACAGAGAUUCCCAAGAGGUAGUUGUAUAGACAAUUCUGAAGCCAGAUACAGAAUGGACUGAUAUAUAGAUAAAGGGGUCA